rnacentral:rRNA from 1 species
AGCUCCAAUAGCGUAUAUUAAAGUUGUUGCAGUUAAAAAGCUCGUAGUUGAAUUUCUUUUGCUUCUGUGGGCCGUGCGGGCUUUGCCCCACGCGCCCUCUUGGAGGCAAAAUUCCUCGGCGCGGUGCCUCUGGGCGGCUUGACUGUCGUUUGGGGGGGUUUCGCGGCGCCGUCGUUUACUGUGAAAAAAUUAGAGUGUUCCAAGCAGGCUUUCUCGCACGUGAAUACAUUAGCAUGGAAUAAUAAGAUACGACAUUUGGUCUAUUUUGUUGGUUUGCGGCCGAUUGUAAUGAUGAAUAGGAACAGUUGGGGGUAUUCGUAUUCGGUUGUCAGAGGUGAAAUUCUUGGAUUUACGGAAGACGAACUACUGCGAAAGCAUUUACCAAGGAUGUUUUCAUUAA